rnacentral:rRNA from 10 species
CGGGACUUACUUAGCUUGCUUUGUAAGUUUAGUGGCGGACGGGUGAGUAACACGUGAGCAACCUGCCCAGAAGAAGGGGAUAGCUCGAGGAAACUCGAAUUAAUACCAUAUGUGAUCCUGUGAAGCAUUUCGCAGGAAUGAAAGAUGCCUUCGGGUGUCACUUCUGGAUGGGCUCGCGGCCUAUCAGUUAGUUGGUGAGGUAACGGCUCACCAAGGCAAUGACGGGUAGCUGGUCUGAGAGGACGACCAGUCACACUGGAACUGAGACACGGUCCAGACACCUACGGGUGGCAGCAGUCGAGAAUCAUUCGCAAUGGGGGAAACCCUGACGGUGCGACGCCGCGUGGAGGAUGACGGUCUUCGGAUUGUAAACUCCUGUCAUCGAAGAGUAAGGCUUAUGUAUUAAUAGUAUGUAAGAUUGAUAGUAUUCGAAGAGGAAGGGACGGCUAACUUCGUGCCAGCAGCCGCGGUAAUACGAAGGUCCCAAGCGUUGUUCGGAAUCACUGGGCGUAAAGGGAGCGUAGGCGGUGAGGUAAGUCAGAUGUGAAAUUCCAGGGCUCAACCCUGGAACUGCAUCCGAUACUGCCUUACUAGAGUAGUGGAGGGGCAUCUGGAAUUCACGGUGUAGCAGUGAAAUGCGUAGAGAUCGUGAGGAACACUAGUGGCGAAGGCGAGAUGCUGGACACUUACUGACGCUGAGGCUCGAAGGCCAGGGUAGCGAAAGGGAUUAGAUACCCCUGUAGUCCUGGCAGUAAACGGUGCACGUUUGGUGUGAGAAGGUUCGACCCUUUUCGUGCCGGAG